AACGAACGCUGGCGGCAUGCCUAACACAUGCAAGUCGAACGAGACCUUCGGGUCUAGUGGCGCACGGGUGCGUAACGCGUGGGAACCUGCCCUUAGGUUCGGAAUAACUCCCCGAAAGGGGUGCUAAUACCGGAUAAUGUCUUCUGACCAAAGAUUUAUCGACUUUGUAUGGGCGCGAGUUGGAUUAGCUAGUUGGUAGGGUAAAAGCAUACCAAGGCGACGAUCCAUAGCUGGGUUGAGAGAAUGAUCAGCGACACUGGGACUGGGACACGGCCCAGACUCCUACGGGAGGCAGCAGUGGGGAAUAUUGCACAAUGGGCGAAAGCCUGAUCCAGCAAUGCCGCGUGAGUGAUGAAGGCCUUAGGGUUGUAAAGUGCUUUUAACCGUGAUGAUAAUGACAGUACCGGGAGAAUAAGCCCCGGCUAACUCCGUG
rnacentral:rRNA from 1 species